AAAAAUAUUAUGAUGGAGACAAAGGUACUUUGUUAUUAACUACAGAGAGCUAACAUUUGCUGAAAGUUAGUGUUAAUACUGGUAUAUAAUGAUCACUCCUGAAUUGCCUAUUUGAAAAGAAAUAUCUUAGUAGAUUAGGCCGGCUGCUACCGUUAUAUAGAUAGGAUUAAAAGAUACUAAUUAGCUUUUGAUCUGAUGUUGAGACAUCUGUGAAGGUGUGAAAUAGGGUGGUACCACGGAAGCAAAUCUUUCGUCCCUAUA
rnacentral:ncRNA from 1 species